rnacentral:rRNA from 3 species
AAAUUGAAGAGUUUGAUCAUGGCUCAGAUUGAACGCUGGCGGCAGGCCUAACACAUGCAAGUCGAACGGUAACAGGAAGCAGCUUGCUGCUUCGCUGACGAGUGGCGGACGGGUGAGUAAUGUCUGGGAAACUGCCUGAUGGAGGGGGAUAACUACUGGAAACGGUGGCUAAUACCGCAUAACGUCGCAAGACCAAAGAGGGGGACCUUCGGGCCUCUUGCCAUCAGAUGUGCCCAGAUGGGAUUAGCUUGUUGGUGAGGUAACGGCUCACCAAGGCGACGAUCCCUAGCUGGUCUGAGAGGAUGACCAGCCACACUGGAACUGAGACACGGUCCAGACUCCUACGGGAGGCAGCAGUGGGGAAUAUUGCACAAUGGGCGCAAGCCUGAUGCAGCCAUGCCGCGUGUAUGAAGAAGGC